rnacentral:rRNA from 1 species
GAUGAACGCUGGCGGCGUGCCUAAUACAUGCAAGUCGAGCGAACAGACGAGGAGCUUGCUCCUCUGACGUUAGCGGCGGACGGGUGAGUAACACGUGGAUAACCUACCUAUAAGACUGGGAUAACUUCGGGAAACCGGAGCUAAUACCGGAUAAUAUAUUGAACCGCAUGGUUCAAUAGUGAAAGACGGUUUUGCUGUCACUUAUAGAUGGAUCCGCGCCGCAUUAGCUAGUUGGUAAGGUAACGGCUUACCAAGGCAACGAUGCGUAGCCGACCUGAGAGGGUGAUCGGCGACACUGGAACUGAGACACGGUCCAGACUCCUACGGGAGGCAGCAGUAGGUAAUCUUCCGCAAUGGGCGAAAGCCUGACGGAGCAACGCCGCGUGAGUGAUGAAGGUCUUCGGAUCGUAAAACUCUGUUAUUAGGGAAGAACAAAUGUGUAAGUAACUAUGCACGUCUUGACGGUACCUAAUCAGAAAGCCACGGCUAACUACGUG